rnacentral:tRNA from 1 species
GGGAAUUUGGUCUAGUGGUAUGAUUCUCGCUUUGGGUGCGAGAGGUCCCGAGUUCAAUUCUCGCAAUGCCCC